GUAAAAUGCAGGAAUACUUUCUGUUCUAGGUCGCCCACCAGUAAAAUGCGGGAAUACUUUCUGUUCUAGGUCGUCCACCAGUAAAAUGCGGGAAUACUUUCUGUUCUAGGUCUCACACCAGUAAAAUGCGGGAAUACUUUCUGUUCUAGGUCGCCCACCAGUAAAAUGCGGGAAUACUUUCUGUUCUAGGUCACCCACCAGUAUAAUGUGGGAAUACUUUUAGUCUUAUAUUACAGAUUUUGAAAUCAGUAACCCCACCGGAAGGCAGAAGGUUACAACAGGAAUCCCUAGCAAGGAACAACAAAAAUCCCCAACACCGGGAAGCCGAAGGUUGCUAACUCAAGUGCAUGCGUCAAAAGGAAGAAAAGACGCGUUUUAAAAGAAGCGGCUU
rnacentral:lncRNA from 1 species